rnacentral:tRNA from 1 species
GCACGCAUAGCUCAGCCGGUUAGAGCACUGCAUUCACAUUGCAGAGGUCAACAGUUCAAAUCUGUUUGCGUGCACCA